rnacentral:rRNA from 1 species
AGUGAACGCUGGCGGCGUGCCUAAUACAUGCAAGUCGAACGGAGAUUAAGUAGCUUGCUAUUUAAUCUUAGUGGCGCACGGGUGAGUAAUAUAUAGCUAACUUGCCCAUUACUAAGGGACAACAGUUGGAAACGACUGCUAAUAUCUUAUACUCCGUGUCUAUAUAAGUAGAUACGGGAAAGUUUUUCGGUAAUGGAUAGGGCUAUAUCGUAUCAGCUAGUUGGUAAGGUAAUGGCUUACCAAGGCUAUGACGCGUAACUGGUCUGAGAGGAUGAUCAGUCACACUGGAACUGAGACACGGUCCAGACUCCUACGGGAGGCAGCAGUAGGGAAUAUUGCUCAAUGGGGGAAACCCUGAAGCAGCAACGCCGCGUGGAGGAUGACACUUUUCGGAGCGUAAACUCCUUUUCUUGGGAAAGAAUUAUGACGGUACCCAAGGAAUAAGCACCGGCUAACUCCGUGCCAGCAGCCGCGGUAAUACGGAGGGUGCAAGCGUUACUCGGAAUCACUGGGCGUAAAGGACGCGUAGGCGGAUUAUCAAGUCUCUUGUGAAAUCUAACGGCUUAACCGUUAAACUGCUUGGGAAACUGAUAAUCUAGAGUAAGGGAGAGGCAGAUGGAAUUCUUGGUGUAGGGGUAAAAUCCGUAGAGAUCAAGAAGAAUACCCAUUGCGAAAGCGAUCUGCUGGAACUUAACUGACGCUAAUGCGUGAAAGC